rnacentral:misc_RNA from 1 species
GAUGAAGAACGCAGCGAAAUGCGAUAAGUAAUGUGAAUUGCAGAAUCCAGUGAAUCAUCGAAUCUUUGAACGCACAUUGCGCCCGCCAGCAUUCUGGCGGGCAUGCCUGUUCGAGCGUCAUUUCAACCCUCGACCUCCCUUUGGGGAAGUCGGCGUUGGGGACCGGCAGCACACCGCCGGCCCUGAAAUGGAGUGGCGGCCCGUCCGCGGCGACCUCUGCGUAGUAAUCCAACUCGCACCGGAACCCCGACGAGGCCACGCCGUAAAACACCCAACUUCUGAACGUUGACCUCGAAUAAGGUAGGACUACCCGCUGAACUUAAGCAUAUCAAUAAGCGGAGGA